AGGAGGAACAGCCCCAGUGGCUGCUGCAGCUCUGGAACCUGGAUUCAGCUCCGGCAGGAACUACUACGCCUGCAGGGCCUGGAGGCUCCGGGCGGGG
rnacentral:pre_miRNA from 1 species